rnacentral:lncRNA from 1 species
AAGCAAUGAGGUUUCAACAAGUGGCUGAUUGGGCAAGGGCACAUGGCCAGGUAUUGUGUUUCCAUAUGUAAUAGCUUGUCUCAUAACGUCCUCGUUCAACCGGAUGUUCAAUGGCCGAUAAACCGGCGGUGAAGCCUUCUCGACCACGCCCACAUUGUAGUCGAUCUUUGUGUUGGCACUCGGAGUUUGCGAAUUGGAGGUCUGCGUGCUCACAUGUCCGGUUACAGCAUUCUUUGUUGUGUAGUAUGUGCUCAUUGCUAUGUUGAGACCAAGUUCGAUUGUUUUAGUGUUUGGUGCGUUCGUGUUUGUGUUGGAGGUUUGCAGUGUAUCUUGGAGCAAACCAAGACGACUUGCCACAGUCUGUGCAAUGGAUUCCCGGAAGGGUAACUGCACAUUCAGGCCGAUGUCUGAAGAGCCAUCGGGCUUACCUGGUUGAACUGGAGCCAAUGGCUGUGAAAGUGUGCGAAUUUCCGUCUUGGGAGGGGACUUUUUUAGGAAACAACCGGAACAGGCCUCCGAGUUGAAGUUGUACUUGGGCAGAGCCACCGGAGCUGCAGGAAGCAGGACCUUUGGAGUCGUUGUCACAGGAACACUUUCUGGAAAGUAAAUAAUAUUACAAGUCAUUCAAAAGUUCCCCUUGAUCACCUAUACAAUCCUCUGUUAGAAAUUUCCAAAUAAAAUGUAUUACAUUUAAAAACAAACCAAAACAUAUUAUACAAGUUAAGAUUAUUCUUAUCAAACCAAAAACGUUUGGUUAUAUUUAGAAACGUAGCUCGAAAACCAGUAUGACUUUAAAGGAAAUAAUCUGAAUGGAAGUCUGAUUUCAAUCGGGUUUAUGAUUUGAAUUAAUAAAUAAUAUUAUCAGACCAAAAGCAUAUAUUUUAGUGCUGUCAUAGGUUCGUAUUGCAAUUCGAAUUAAAUAUUCAGAAUCGGUCAAGAAUUCUGUCAAUACUCACUUGAACCAACUGGACCCGCGUAAGGAUAGCUCUUCAUGGAGAUUAUCCGGAAUUUGCCCUCCUCGUCGGUGGCAUAGACCGUCACGUGAUAGAUACCAUCGGCGGUGAUGAACCCAAACUCGCCCAUGAUAAUGCCGCGUUCAUCUGUGAGUUGGGGAAACAAGAUGAGAUUUGACCAAAAUGAUUUUGUGUUCAUUUUGAAUAUGAAUGCGAAUUUUACGCCGAUAUGUGAUUUUUAAUUUGUUUGAUAACCAGCCACGAGCAGGCCCAUAAAGAUUAAGAUCUAAUAAACUGUAUCGAUAAUGGCGAUCAUAACUUGUGAGCUGGUUUCUUAAAACCCCUCAACCGCACCACACACCCCCAUCGCUUUGAAUUGAUAUGUUAGGCAGCUUCCUACGUAAGAAACAUUCCUAUGUUGAGAUGAAUUUAUUAAUCUGGAUGACACUGUGGAUGGUCUGAAAGAGGUGCGUCUCUCACCAAAGCAUCCUGUCCAGCCACCCACUAAAAUGUUCUCAUUUGAAAUUCUGGCUUGUGGCCUUUGUGUCUGGAAACAGGUUUCCACAAUACUGGCCAACAAGUUUUAACGGUUUGCAUCAAUUGGCUUUCGCUUGUUUGUUUUAGGUUUAAUUCAAAUUUGGCUUCGUGUCACUUUCCCAUUUGUCUCGAUCGAUUUCGACGGGGCUUGAAAACAAUUCUUUAUUUCAAUUUAUUCUUUUGUCGUGAUCAAUUUGAUUUUAAAUUGUUCAAUGAGCUGGGCUAAAUAAUGAAAACUAUUAAACUCGUAUCAAUAUAAAUUAAGACUAUCAUUUUCUGGUUAUACAAUUAACACUAAUAAAAAAAUAACCAUAAAAUUAACAUACAUUUUAGUGGGUAAUAAAAAUUGAAACUGGGAAUAAAUUAUUAUAAAUUAUAAUUAGAAAAUUAUU